rnacentral:rRNA from 1 species
GAUGAACGCUGGCGGCGUGCCUAAUACAUGCAAGUCGAGCGAACAGACGAGGAGCUUGCUCCUCUGACGUUAGCGGCGGACGGGUGAGUAACACGUGGAUAACCUACCUAUAAGACUGGGAUAACUUCGGGAAACCGGAGCUAAUACCGGAUAAUAUAUUGAACCGCAUGGUUCAAUAGUGGAAGACGGUUUUGCUGUCACUUAUAGAUGGAUCCGCGCCGCAUUAGCUAGUUGGUAAGGUAACGGCUUACCAAGGCAACGAUGCGUAGCCGACCUGAGAGGGUGAUCGGCCACACUGGAACUGAGACACGGUCCAGACUCCUACGGGAGGCAGCAGUAGGGAAUCUUCCGCAAUGGGCGAAAGCCUGACGGAGCAACGCCGCGUGAGUGAUGAAGGUCUUCGGAUUGUAAAACUCUGUUAUUAGGGAAGAACAAAUGUGUAAGUAACUAUGCACGUCUUGACGGUACCUAAUCAGAAAGCCACGGCUAACUACGUG